AUACUUAGGGUGCGAGCGUUAAUCGGAAUUACUGGGCGUAAAGCGCGCGUAGGCGGCUUGGUCAGUCGGAUGUGAAAGCCCCGGGCUUAACCUGGGAAUUGCAUUCGAUACUGCCAGGCUGGAAUGUAGUAGAGGGAAGUGGAAUUCCGGGUGUAGCGGUGAAAUGCGUAGAUAUCCGGAGGAACAUCAGUGGCGAAGGCGACUUCCUGGACUAACAUUGACGCUGAGGUGCGAAAGCGUGGGGAGCAAACAGGAUUAGAUACCCCAGUAGUCC
rnacentral:rRNA from 1 species